GAGGUUGUGGCUCAGCGGUAGAGCACUCCUCUAGCAUGUGCGAGGCCCUGGGUUCAAUCCUCAGCACCACA
rnacentral:tRNA from 1 species